UACAGAGGGUGCGAGCGUUAAUCGGAUUUACUGGGCGUAAAGCGUGCGUAGGCGGCCAAUUAAGUCGGAUGUGAAAUCCCUGAGCUUAACUUAGGAAUUGCAUUCGAUACUGUUUGGCUAGAGUAUGGGAGAGGAUGGUAGAAUUCCAGGUGUAGCGGUGAAAUGCGUAGAGAUCUGGAGGAAUACCGAUGGCGAAGGCAGCCAUCUGGCCUAAUACUGACGCUGAGGUACGAAAGCAUGGGGAGCAAACAGG
rnacentral:rRNA from 1 species